AAGUCGUAACAAGGUUUCCGUAGGUGAACCUGCGGAAGGAUCAUUAUCGAACCGAAGGGGCCGUUCCGGCGCCCUGCACCGGCGGAGACGCCGUCGUGCGGGCCCGGGCGCGCCUCGUCCACACACCCCUGUGCACCUUUGGGAAGGCGGGAUUCGCGUCCCGUCGGCCCGACACAAACUCUAGAAAGUCCUCGAAUGUCAUCGCGGCCUCGUGCCGUCCGAAACAAAUAACAACUUUCAACAACGGAUCUCUUGGCUCUC
rnacentral:misc_RNA from 1 species